rnacentral:rRNA from 1 species
UACGGAGGAUCCGAGCGUUAUCCGGAUUUAUUGGGUUUAAAGGGUGCGCAGGCGGGAGAUUAAGUCGGCGGUAAAAUUUUGCAGCUCAACUGUAAAAGUGCCUUCGAAACUGGUUUCCUUGAGUGUAGAUGAAGUAGGCGGAAUUUGUGGUGUAGCGGUGAAAUGCAUAGAUAUCACGAGGAACUCCGAUUGCGCAGGCAGCUUACUAAACCAUAACUGACGCUCAGGCACGAAGGCGUGGGGAUCAAACAGGAUUAGAUAUCCCGGUAGU